AUCUACACCUCUCUAUUCGUCGGCAGCGUCAGAUGUGUAUAAGAGACAGGUCCUAGGGGGUAUUGCACCUACCGAAGACUAUCAAACUCCGAAUGCCGUCAUCUUAUACUUGGGAGUCAGACUGUGGGUGAUAAGAUUCAUAGUCGAAAGGGCAACAGCCCAGAUCGUCAGCUAAGGUCCCUAAAUGUAAGUUAAGUGGUAAAGGAUGUGGGAUUGCACAGACAACCAGGAUGUUGGCUUAGAAGCAGCCACUCAUUCAAAGAGUGCGUAAUAGCUCACUGGUCGAGUGAUCCUGCGCCGAAGAUUUCCGGGGCUAAAACUUACUACCGAAGCUACGGCAUCAGUAAUGAUGGGUAGGGGAGCUUCCCAUACGGGUUGAAGCAUGACCGUAAGGACAUGUGGACAGUAUGGGAGUGAGAAUGUUGGCAUGAGUAGCGAGAUGUGGGUGAGAAUCCCACAGGCCGUAAACCCAAGGUUUCCAGGGGAAGGUUCGUCCGCCCUGGGUUAGUCGGGACCUAAGCUGAGGCCGAAAGGCGUAGGUGAUGGACAACAGGUUGAUAUUCCUGUACUACCGAUAACCGUUUGAGAGAAGGGAUGACACAGUAGGAUAAGCUAAGCACACUGUUGGUUAUGUGUGCCCAAGCAUUGAGGCAGUCAAAGUAGGCAAAUCCGCUUUGAUAAUGCUGGGAUGUGAUGGGGAGCGAAAUUUAGUAGCGAAGUAGCUGAUUUCACACUGUCAAGAAAAGUCUCUAUCGAGGUUAAAGGUACCCGUACCGCAAACCGACACAGGUGGGUGAGGAGAGUAUCCUAAGGCCAGCGAGAGAACUGUUGUUAAGGAACUCGGCAAAAUGACCCCGUAACUUAGGGAUAAGGGGUGCCACCAUCAGGUGGCCGCAGAGAAUAGGCCCAAGCGACUGUUUACCAAAAACAUAGGUUUCUGCUAAGUCGCAAGACGAUGUAUAGGAGCUGACGCCUGCCCGGUGCUGGAAGGUUAAGGGGAUCUGUUAGAGCAAUCGAAGCAGUGAACUUAAGCCCCAGUAAACGGCGGCCGUAACUAUAACGGUCCUAAGGUAGCGAAAUUCCUUGUCGGGUAAGUUCCGACCCGCACGAAAGGCGUAACGAUUUGGGCACUGUCUCAACAACAGACUCGGUGAAAUUGUAAUUCCGGUGAAGAUGCCGGAUACCUGCGACAGGACGGAAAGACCCCAUGGAGCUUUACUGUAGCUUGACAUUGGGUCUUGGUACUACAUGUACAGGAUAGGUGGGAGGCUUUGAAACCAGGACGCCAGUUUUGGCGGAGCCAUCCUUGGGAUACCACCCUUGUAGUACUGGGACUCUAACCAUAGGCCAUGAAUCUGGUCUUGGGACACUGUCAGGUGGGCAGUUUGACUGGGGCGGUCGCCUCCCAAAAGGUAACGGAGGCGCUCAAAGGUUCUCUCAGUACGGUCGGAAAUCGUACGUAGAGUGUAAAGGCAAAAGAGAGCUUGAUUGCAAGACAUACAGGUCGAGCAAGGAUGAAAAUCGGACUUAGUGAUCCGGUGGUUCUGCGUGGAAGGGCCAUCGCUCAACGGAUAAAAGCUACCCUGGGGAUAACAGGCUUAUCUCCCCCAAGAGUCCACAUCGACGGGGAGGUUUGGCACCUCGAUGUCGGCUCAUCACAUCCUGGGGCUGUAGUAGGUCCCAAGGGUUGGGCUGUUCGCCCAUUAAAGUGGUACGCGAGCUGGGUUCAGAACGUCGUGAGACAGUUCGGUCCCUAUCCGUCGCAGGCGUAGGAAAUUUGAGAAGACCUGUCCUUAGUACGAGAGGACCGGGAUGGACGUACCUCUGGUGUACCAGUUGU
rnacentral:rRNA from 1 species